CCAUGAUAUUGCUUCGUUUUGUAAUUCUUUCGCUUCUAUCUCUAUUGCUUAUGUCCCAAAGUCGUCCAAUACUUUAGCCGACUCCUUAGUUAAGUCAGUCCUUGUGGCUUUUACUUCCUCCUCCCCUCCAAGAAUGUAACACUCUCUGUCUUUUAGCAAUGCAAGUUCGGUUUGAACAAAAACAAAUUAUCACAAAAUGCCAAAAAAUGAAAGACAAUUAAUUUAUAAUUAGGCUCAUAAGUCAAAUAGCCAAUAACUUGCCCCAUACCUAAGAUAGUUACUUUAGGCGAAACGACGGAGAAUUUAAGGACAAUUGACUAUAGAAAAGACUCUAUAUUAUACUAUUCACAGUGUCCCAAAUAUAUAUAAAUUGCCUAACACAUUGCCACCGUCG